rnacentral:rRNA from 1 species
AUUGAACGCUGGCGGCAUGCUUUACACAUGCAAGUCGAACGGUAACAGGGUGCUUGCACCGCUGACGAGUGGCGAACGGGUGAGUAAUGCGUCGGAACGUGCCGAGUAGUGGGGGAUAACGCAUCGAAAGGUGUGCUAAUACCGCAUACGUACUGAGGUAGAAAGUGGGGGACCUUCGGGCCUCACGCUAUUCGAGCGGCCGCCGUCUGAUUAGCUAGUAGGUGAGGUAAAGGCUCACCUAGGCGACGAUCAGUAGCGGGUCUGAGAGGAUGAUCCGCCACACUGGGACUGAGACACGGCCCAGACUCCUACGGGGGGCAGCAGUGGGGAAUAUUGGACAAUGGGCGGAAGCCUGAUCCAGCCAUGCCGCGUGUGUGAAGAAGGCCUUUUGGUUGUAAAGCACUUUAAGCGAGGAGGAGGCUCUUAAGGUUAAUACCCUUGAUGAGUGGACGUUACUCGCAGAAUAAGCACCGGCUAACUCUGUGCCAGCCGCCGCCGUAA